GGGCCCGCACAAGCGGUGGAACAUGUGGUUUAAUUCGACGCAACGCGAAGAACCUUACCUGGGUUUGACAUCCCCGGCCGACACCAGAGAUGGUGUUUUCUCUUCGGAGACCGGGUGACAGGUGCUGCAUGGCUGUCGUCAGCUCGUGUCGUGAGAUGUUGGGUUAAGUCCCGCAACGAGCGCAACCCUUGCCCUCAGUUGCCAGCAGUUCGGCUGGGCACUCUGGGGGGACUGCCGGUGACAAGCCGGAGGAAGGUGGGGAUGACGUCAAGUCCUCAUGGCCUUUAUAUCCAGGGCUACACACGUGUUACAAUGGGGGUCACAAAGGGCAGCGAAACGGUGACGUGGAGCGAAUCCCAAAAAAGCCCUCUCAGUUCGGAUCGCAGUCUGCAACUCGACUGCGUGAAGCUGGAAUCGCUAGUAAUCGC
rnacentral:rRNA from 1 species